rnacentral:pre_miRNA from 1 species
GGCUAGAAGCCGCCGAAAAUAAACUCUUUGCCGCCGAAAAUAGCUUAUUUUCGGCGGCAAAGGGCUUAUUUUCGGCGGCUUCUGGC